rnacentral:snRNA from 1 species
AUUGCUUCUUGGCCUUUUGGCUAAGAUCAAGUGUAGUAUUUGUUCUUAUCAAUUUAACAUCACCACAUUUUAGAGUGUUUUCAUUGUCUUAAAAGGAAACCCUGU